AGCUGAACAUCCUCCUCUACACGACCUGAUAGAGACCCGCAGGAGAGCGAAAAUAAUAAAUAAUUUUAAUAAAAUAAUAAAUUGGAGCUGCGGAUUAGCAGAAAGAGAGAGAGAGAGAGGGAGGCUGGAGCGGCAUCUCGGGGAGAUUCUGCUGCUGCUGCUGCACGUUUGGGUAGCAAAACAUGCUGCUGCUGCCUGAUGCUGCUACCACUGGACUCAGGAGACAUGUGACAGCUCUCCUCCUUCUGGAAAUUUCCUCUCACUUACAGUGAGCGGGCUGGGAGUUGGUUUCUGUCUUUGGUUAUCUAGCUGUAUGAGUACAUUCACAUGUCAUAAAGCUAGAUAACCGAAAGUAGAACUGAUUCUACAAAUCUGCUUACUCUUGGUGGGUUCUGGUGGAGAAUCUGGAGCAUCCUUCUUCAAAGCUGCUGGUGCUGAAGAAACCAGACACCUCUAGACAGAGUGCUCUGACUGUCCGCAACAUGGCGUAAUGAAGUAACAUGACAGGAGCACAGGCAGCAUGCUGUAGAGAUGGAGGGAGAGAACAGAGGGGCACAGGCAGGGAAGAUGCCUUCGUCUGUGACCGCCGUCCUUCUCCUCAUGCCUGGAAAGCCCUGGUGCCAUCUGCGGCCCUCUGGGGGACUGGGGAAGCCGUGCCCGUGCCACUGGCGACAAAGCCCCCUGUCAGCUCCCUGGAGCCAGGCACAUCGAGGGAGGGAGGGAGGCCAUCUUGAGGGAAAUCUCAGUGAAACAGCUAAGAUGGCUGGACUGGCACACGAGACAAGGCUGAUCAACUAAUCAUACACUCCGGACACACUCCUGUACACCUGCAGCAGAAAAGACUGGAAGACGUUUGAGAGAUGUCUGCUCUGCAAAGAAGACAUAUAUUAUUAAAGAGUAGAUUUUUUCAUAUUGUAUGAUCUCUCAUUUGGGAGCUGUUUUGGUUCUUAAAAUUGUCAUUGUUUUGCCUUGCCUGUAGCACAAAUAAAUGUUGUAAAUGGGACAUUUACUGUUAUACUGUAAGUCUGAAUCUACGUACUGGACUGCAAUAUUGGUGUAUAAAAAAAUGUAACAUAAUCUAACUGCACAGCAUUUUAAUUGUUCUGACUAAAGUUCUGUGAAUAAAUGUUAUUUAUUAUUAA